UUACGACCAUAUCAUGUUGAAACACCGGUUCCUGUAUGAUCAACGAAGUUAAGCAACGUUAAGCAUGGUCAGCACCUAGAUGGGUAAGCGCUUAAGAAUACCAGGCUCUG